AGUGAACGCUGGCGGUAGGCCUAACACAUGCAAGUCGAACGGCAGCACAGUAAGAGCUUGCUCUUACGGGUGGCGAGUGGCGGACGGGUGAGGAAUACAUCGGAAUCUACUUUUUCGUGGGGGAUAACGUAGGGAAACUUACGCUAAUACCGCAUACGACCUACGGGUGAAAGCAGGGGAUCUUCGGACCUUGCGCGAUUGAAUGAGCCGAUGCCGGAUUAGCUAGUUGGCGGGGUAAAGGCUCACCAAGGCGACGAUCCGUAGCUGGUCUGAGAGGAUGAUCAGCCACACUGGAACUGAGACACGGUCCAGACUCCUACGGGAGGCAGCAGUGGGGAAUAUUGGACAAUGGGCGCAAGCCUGAUCCAGCCAUACCGCGUGGGUGAAGAAGGCCUUCGGGUUGUAAAGCCCUUUUGUUGGGAAAGAAAAGCAGCAGGUUAAUACCCCGCUGUUCUGACGGUACCCAAAGAAUAAGCACCGGCUAACUUCGUG
rnacentral:rRNA from 1 species